rnacentral:ncRNA from 1 species
UCCGGAGAUGCCGAAAACCGAAUAGAGUAGGCA